AGUGAACGCUGGCGGUAGGCCUAACACAUGCAAGUCGAACGGCAGCACAGUAAGAGCUUGCUCUUACGGGUGGCGAGUGGCGGACGGGUGAGGAAUACAUCGGAAUCUACUUUUUCGUGGGGGAUAACGUAGGGAAACUUAUGCUAAUACCGCAUACGACCUACGGGUGAAAGCAGGGGAACUUCGGACCUUGCGCGAUUGAAUGAGCCGAUGUCGGAUUAGCUAGUUGGCGGGGUAAAGGCCCACCAAGGCGACGAUCCGUAGCUGGUCUGAGAGGAUGAUCAGCCACACUGGAACUGAGACACGGUCCAGACUCCUACGGGAGGCAGCAGUGGGGAAUAUUGGACAAUGGGCGCAAGCCUGAUCCAGCCAUACCGCGUGGGUGAAGAAGGCCUUCGGGUUGUAAAGCCCUUUUGUUGGGAAAGAAAAGCAGCAGGUUAAUACCCCGCUGUUCUGACGGUACCCAAAGAAUAAGCACCGGCUAACUUCGUG
rnacentral:rRNA from 1 species